AGAGUUUGAUCAUGGCUCAGGACGAACGCUGGCGGCGUGCCUAACACAUGCAAGUCGAGCGAUGAAACCCUUCGGGGUGGAUUAGCGGCGGACGGGUGAGUAACACGUGGGUAACCUGCCUCAAAGAGGGGAAUAGCCUCCCGAAAGGGAGAUUAAUACCGCAUAAUAUGUUUUGAUCGCAUGAUCGAGACAUCAAAGGAUUUUCUUCGGAAUUUCCACUUUGAGAUGGACCCGCGGCGCAUUAGCUAGUUGGAGAGGUAACGGCUCACCAAGGCAACGAUGCGUAGCCGACCUGAGAGGGUGAUCGGCCACAUUGGAACUGAGACACGGUCCAGACUCCUACGGGAGGCAGCAGUGGGGAAUAUUGCGCAAUGGGGGAAACCCUGACGCAGCAACGCCGCGUGAAUGAUGAAGGCCUUCGGGUUGUAAAGUUCUGUCUUCUGGGACGAUAAUGACGGUACCAGAGGAGGAAGCCACGGCUAACUACGUGCCAGCAGCCGCGGUAAUACGUAGGUGGCAAGCGUUGUCCGGAUUUACUGGGCGUAAAGGAUGCGUAGGCGGACAUUUAAGUCAGAUGUGAAAUACCCGAGCUUAACUUGGGUGCUGCAUUUGAAACUGGGUGUCUAGAGUGCAGGAGAGGUAAGUGGAAUUCCUAGUGUAGCGGUGAAAUGCGUAGAGAUUAGGAAGAACACCAGUGGCGAAGGCGACUUACUGGACUGUAACUGACGCUGAGGCAUGAAAGCGUGGGGAGCAAACAGGAUUAGAUACCCUAGUAGUCC
rnacentral:rRNA from 1 species